rnacentral:lncRNA from 10 species
AGAAGACCUGAUGACACAAACCCUCCAAAGAGUUUCACCCUCACCACAACAGGUGGCUUCCUGCUCGGCAGCCCAUCCUGCAUCACUUCAGUGGACUUCUCUGACAUCUACUAGACCACAUUAAAUGAAUCACAGCCUUGAAACUGAACUGGAAGGACUUCCUUCAAGAUUUUUAUCUAAUUCCUGUUGGACAGUGUAAAAUGCCACUUCUUCCAGGGUUGCCUGCAUAUCAUCAAAAGGGAAAUAGUACUCAUCGAAGAUGUGCCUUUGCUAGGAACUAGGACAAGGGUGGCCUUUAUAAAUUCAUGAAGAGAAGGAGCCAGCAUAUGAACUUGCUGCCUAUCUUUAGCAAGGAGAUGCAAAUGACAUCCACAAACCUCUUCUGCUGUAUACCUGGAUGAAAGCAAGGCUAGCUGUGUGUCCUAUGGCACCAAGGACUGAAAGAUUGUAAGAAGUAAGAGGGAAAGUGAUCCAAAAAGGUGGAACACCUAAUGUACAGCCCCAAGGAAGGAGCAUACUUGGAGAAUUCAAGGAACAGAAAGAAAAACAGGAAGGCUGGAGUGAAACUGAUUAAAUAAAGCAUCGUAACAUUAGAGGUCCAUCAUAGAGGCCAAGCCAAAUACAACUAUGUUUUCAAGCAUAAGAUGGAUAGAUGUGGUAAACCACAAGAAGCAAACAGCCCUUUAGAGGUGUGGAUUGACCUUGCAGAGUUACAAGUGGAGCCAGGAGAAAUCAUGUUGAGUGGGACUUCUCAUCCUACCUAAGAGAGACUAACAGAUGGAAAGCUGGGUACAGAAGGGAGAGAAGGCAGUAACAGUCAGAUUUCAAUACGCUGAGACUGUGACGUGGGACUUUUGAGUGAGUAACAUCUGCUCCUAGAACUGAGUUGAGUGGGGAUCCUCCCACACCACCCAGGCAAGAGAACUAACAAUUGAUGACUGCUCCAAAUCAGUCGCCAGUCUACCUAAUACUUCUACCUGGUAGGUAGCCUGAUACCCAC